rnacentral:rRNA from 1 species
GAUCCUGGCUCAGGACGAACGCUGGCGGCGUGCCUAAUACAUGCAAGUCGAGCGGAGAAAUGGGAGCUUGCUCCCAUUUCUCAGCGGCGGACGGGUGAGUAACACGUGGGCAACCUGCCCUACAGACUGGGAUAACUCCGGGAAACCGGAGCUAAUACCGGGUAAUACAUAGCAUCGCAUGAUGCAACGUUGAAAGUUGGCCUUUGGCUAACACUGUAGGAUGGGCCCGCGGCGCAUUAGCUAGUUGGUAAGGUAACGGCUUACCAAGGCCACGAUGCGUAGCCGACCUGAGAGGGUGAUCGGCCACACUGGGACUGAGACACGGCCCAGACUCCUACGGGAGGCAGCAGUAGGGAAUCUUCCGCAAUGGACGAAAGUCUGACGGAGCAACGCCGCGUGAGUGACGAAGGCCUUCGGGUCGUAAAGCUCUGUUGUUAGGGAAGAACAAGUACCGUUCGAAUAGGGCGGUACCUUGACGGUACCUAACCAGAAAGCCACGGCUAACUACGUGCCAGCAGCCGCGGUAAUAC